CAUGCAAGUCGAACGGCAGCACGGGGAGGGGCAACCCUCCCUGGUGGCGAGUGGCGAACGGGUGAGUAACGCAUCGGAACGUGCCCAGUAGUGGGGGAUAACACAUCGAAAGAUGUGCUAAUACCGCAUACGCACUACGGUGGAAAGCGGGGGAUCGCAAGACCUCGCGCUAUUGGAGCGGCCGAUGUCCGAUUAGCUAGUUGGUGGGGUAAUGGCCCACCAAGGCUACGAUCGGUAGCUGGUCUGAGAGGAUGAUCAGCCACACUGGGACUGAGACACGGCCCAGACUCCUACGGGAGGCAGCAGUGGGGAAUUUUGGACAAUGGGCGCAAGCCUGAUCCAGCCAUGCCGCGUGAGUGAAGAAGGCCUUCGGGUUGUAAAGCUCUUUCGGCCGGAACGAAAUCGUCCGGGCUAAUACCCCGGAUGGAUGACGGUACCGGAAGAAGAAGCACCGGCUAACUACGUGCCAGCAGCCGCGGUAAUACGUAGGGUGCAGGUGUUAAUCGGAAUUACUGGGCGUAAAGCGUGCGCAGGCGGCUACUCAAGUCAGAUGUGAAAUCCCCGGGCUUAACCUGGGAACUGCGUUUGAAACUGGGUGGCUAGAGUGCGGCAGAGGGGGGGUGGAAUUCCACGUGUAGCAGUGAAAUGCGUAGAUAUGUGGAGGAACACCGA
rnacentral:rRNA from 1 species